rnacentral:rRNA from 1 species
AUUGAACGCUGGCGGCAGGCUUAACACAUGCAAGUCGAGCGAGUGGCGGACGGGUGAGUAAUGUCUGGGAACCUGCCUGAUGGAGGGGGAUAACUACUGGAAACGGUAGCUAAUACCGCAUACCAUCAGAUGUGCCCAGAUGGGAUUAGCUAGUAGGUGGGGUAAUGGCUCACCUAGGCGACGAUCCCUAGCUGGUCUGAGAGGAUGACCAGCCACACGGGAACUGGGACACGGUCCAGACUCCUACGGGAGGCAGCAGUGGGGAAGAGUGCACAAUGGGCGCAAGCCUGAUGCAGCCAGGCCGCGUGUGUGAAGAAGGCCUUCGGGUUGUAAAGAACUUUCAGCGAGGAGGCGGUACUCGCAGAAGAAGCACCGGCUAACUCCGUGCCAGCAGCCGCGGUAAUAC